rnacentral:ncRNA from 1 species
AAGAGACUUAGUCCUAACCUUACGGUUGGUUUUUGCUAGAUAUAUACAUGCAAGUUUCCGCGAGCCAGUGUAGAUGCCCUUGGUACCUUACCAACAGUCGACAGGAGCGGGUAUCAGGCACACCCAUCUUUUCAACGGUAGCCCAAAACGCCUAGCACUUGCCACGCCCCCACGGGUUCUCAGCAGUAGUUAACAUUAAGCAAUGAGUGAAAACUUGACUUAGUCAUAGCAAAUCAGGGCUGGUAAAUCUUGUGCCAGCCACCGCGGUCAUACAAGAAGCCCAAAUUAACCUUACUAACGGCGUAAAGGGUGGUCACAUGCUAUCUAUACGGAACUAAGAUUAAAAGGUAACUAAGCUGUCAUAAGCCCAAGAUGCCCCUAAGGCCACUGCCCUUGAAGAAAAUCUUAGCCUAACGAUCAAUUGAAAUCCACGAAAGCCAGGACCCAAACUGGGAUUAGAUACCCCACUAUGCCUGGCCCUAAAUCUUGAUGCUCUAUCCUACCUGAGCAUCCGCCCGAGAACUACGAGCGCAAACGCUUAAAACUCUAAGGACUUGGCGGUGUCCCAAACCCACCUAGAGGAGCCUGUUCUGUAAUCGAUGAUCCACGAUACACCCGACCAUUUCUUGCCAAAACAGCCUAUAUACCGCCGUCGCCAGCCCACCCACCCUGAAGGCCCAACAGUGAGCGCAAUAGCCUAACCCGCUAACACGACAGGUCAAGGUAUAGCCUAUGGAAUGGAAGCAAUGGGCUACAUUUUCUAACGUAGAAAACUACGAAUAAGGGGCAUGAAACUGCCCCCCAAAGGCGGAUUUAGCAGUAAAGUGGGACCAUCAAGCCCUCUUAAAGCCGGCCCUGGGACACGUACAUACCGCCCGUCACCCUCCUCACAAGCGACCAACCCACCCCAUACAUUAAUAAGUUUUCCAGCCAAAGAGGAGGUAAGUCGUAACAAGGUAAGUGUACCGGAAGGUGCACUUAGAACACC